GUCUUGAGAGUUAGAGAGACACCACCAAACCAGUGCGGUCUCAUACCCACAGUAACUCAGCUUUUCAUAUCCCCCAACCCAAUGGCGAUGGGUGUUCCAAAUUAAAAUAGAAAGAAUAUAGGGAAAAGGCGGAAAAGGUAGAAGAAAAUGGCGAUGGGUGUUCCAAAUUCGCUCUUUAUAAAAAGAAGAGGAAGAGGGAUUCCAAGCCUUUGCUUUGUCUUCCUCAGGGGAAGCAUUAAAGCCAUGGUGAAAUUUGGAUAUGAAGAUAUGUCCAUGGCGAUGAGCCAAAACCAAGGCAGGGUGUGUGAAGUGCAAGAUGGAGAAGCAGGGCACGUGCAUUGCUAACAAAGCACGAUUUCUUUACAUCUUACCUCGCAAGGUUAGUUUUAGCUGCGCUAGCUUAGUUGGUUCUUCAUGUGCCCCCUUUCUCCAUCAUGCCACUCUGCUUUACUGAUCAAUAUUCUCUGCGCGGUUGUGCGUCUGCUCAUCCUUGGAGCCGCGUGUCAUCGGCUGGAGGUAAGAUCAAACUCUUCAUCUACAUCUUAAUUCUGACUUUCUUCUUCUUUUUCUUUCUUUUCUUUUUUUUUUUGUAUGUGUCUGUGUGUGUUUCUUCAUGAAUUGCAGAAAUGGUCUAAAGUGAUGAAUCCCUCAGAUGAAGGCAAAAUGAUCGUGUAGCAGAGUCAAAUUCGUUCUCCCUACGUUAUGUCCAUCUCGCCCUCGUUUUAUCUGUGGUCCUUGCUUCUCAAAAGUGAUCUAUAGCAAACCUAGCUACUGCAGAAUUGAAGCCAGGAGUUUAGGAGAAAAGCAUACUUCUCGGGUACAUAUACAGGUGUUUAGGAUAAGGUUGGCUCACAUAAUCAAUCCGGAUCUGUACCGAUCGCCGGCGUGUUCACUUUUGAUUUGUUAAUACGCCGUUGAUUGUAGCAGAUCCCGGCCGGCGCUGAAAGGCGAGAUUGGUGAAUUUUUUUUUUUCGAAACCAGCGAGAUUGGUGAAAUGGACGCCACACUUACGAUAAGCCGUUCCACUCUCGCAUUAAGGAAGGAUGUUCAUCAGUCAUCUAUUCGCAGUCACGCUGCACGCAUCCUCCCCUCUUAGUCUCUUUCUCUUCCUCGUGCACACGCACCGACAUGCAUAUUUACAGUGAAGGUGCCAGCUGGCUCGCGAGUAAAGGUGUGACUUUGAAGGAGGAAUGCUGUUAAAUGGCGAGUCCAUACAAUUUGGCUUUUUUUGCGCUUCAGACAAGAUAAGGUGAAGGAUCUGUCAAUGAUAUAUAACCUCUUUUUGAGAAUUACCAAAGGAUUAGAGCCAAUAUCCACAAUAUUUAGAGAGCAUGUAGUUUCAAUUGGUCAAGCCUUGGUUAGAGAUGCAGCAGAUGAAGCAAGCCACAAAAAGGUAGGACAUUUACUCUCCUUAUCAAGGCCAUAUUCUUCUAUUCUUUAACUUGGUGGACAUAUGAAUCUAUG